rnacentral:rRNA from 1 species
AGUUCGGAUUGGAGGCUGAAACCCGCCUCCAUGAAGUUGGAUUCGCUAGUAAUCGCGCAUCAGCCAUGGCGCGGUGAAUACGUUCCCGGGCCUUGUACACACCGCCCGUCAAGCCAUGGGAGCCGGGGGUGCCUGAAGUUCGUGACCGCAAGGAGCGACCUAGGGCAAAACUGGUGACUGGGGCUAAGUCGUAACAAGGUAAC